GACGUAGGGGGCGAGCGUUGUCCGGAUUUAUUGGGCGUAAGCGUGUGUAGGCGGCUGCGCAAGUCGGGUGUGAAACCCCGGGGCUCGAACCCCGGAACUGCAUCCGAUACUGCGUGGCUAGAGGUAGGUAGGGGAGAUCGGAAUUCCUGGUGUGAGCGGUGAAUGACGCAGAUAUCAGGAGGAACACCGGUGGCGAAGGCGGAUCUCUGGGCCUUACCUGACGCUCAGGCACGAAAGCUAGGGGGAGCGAACAGG
rnacentral:rRNA from 1 species